CAGAACACCAUUUCCUGCAGCCUGAAAAGAAGACAGUAUAAUUGUUUGGCAGCAAGAGAAUCCAGGUGCCCUUCCAUGAGAAGCCCAAGCCAUGUGGAGAAGCCACGUCUAGGGACUCCAGUUAACACUCUCAGCUGAGUCCCCAGCUGACAGUCAGCAUCAACUGCCAGCCACCUCUGUCUAAAAGUGGGCUAUCUUGGGCAUCCAGCCCAGUCAAGCCUUCAGAUGAGUCCAGUCCCAGCCACUAUCUCACACAACCACACGAGAGACAUCAAGAACUCCCAGUGGAGUCCAGUCAGCCCAUGGAACUGCAAGAGCCAUAAGCGUACCUGAGUACAUUUUUCAUGUCAAGAAGACAAUGGCUUCAAAGGAAGGGAAAGGGCAGCCCCACAGGAGGCCCAGAAAAGAAGGCCAGGUGAAAAAAGCAAAGCCUCCCAGGGAAACAUUCACAUUUCCUGAAUGAUCUGUCAUCAAAAAUGCAUGUGCAUGCAGAGGGGCAACCAACAGAGUCAGGGCAAACGCAGCCAGGCUGGCCCCUGCUCCCAACUGUGCCCGGAGGACUUUGAAACACACCCAUACCCAGGACAAAAGCAACCCUCCUUCCCGAAAUCACUGCCACCUAUCUGGCAAAACCACAAGUCCAAAGGAAAAUCUUGGAUUUGGCUUUUUUUUCAGGCUCCUAAAUUUAAGCAACAUUAAUUUUUUAAAGGCCUGUCCUGCUCUCUAUACUGCAAUGGAAGAUUCAGGGGAGCAGCAUUUCAUGGUAAGAUUAGAACCAGGCCAUUCUGUUCUUAAUCCUUACCUUGGAGUUGAUGUGAAAAGGUGUUGGCUUCACACUUGGAUAGUCCUGGGACUGGGCCCAGUAUUCCCUUGUUGUAUGUUCUGGAGCAUUGCUGUGAGAAGCCAUUAUUUUUUGCUUAUGUCCCUGGGGCUUUAUUUACUUCACCUCGUGUUUAAUCUUCCCAGCAACCCUAUGAGGGAAGUAUAUUACCUCAUUUCAAGGGUAAGGAGAUUAGUCUCAAAAAGAAACACACACUCCAAAUAACAGAUGGGAUUCAAACCUUGGCCUGCCCAAUUCCAGAGAUCUGCUCUAAUAUGGUUUUGCUGUGUCCCUACCCAAAUCUCAUCUUGAAUUCCCACUUGUUGUGGGAGUGACACGGUGGGAAGUAACUGAAUCAUGGGGACAGGUCUUUCCCAGGCUAUUCUGAUGAUAGUGAAUAAGUAUCAUGAGAUCUGAUGGUUUUUAAAAGGGGAGUUUCCCUGCACAAGCUCUUCUUCUCUUGUCUGCUGCCAUGUGAGAUGUGACUUUCACCUUUCACCACAAUUGUGAGGCUUCCCCAGCCACGUGGAACUGUAAGUCCAUUAAACCUCUUUCUUUUGUAAA
ensembl:lncRNA novel transcript